rnacentral:rRNA from 1 species
GACGAACGCUGGCGGCGUGCCUAACACAUGCAAGUCGAACGGAAGCAGAGAUUUCGGUUUCUGCUUUAGUGGCGAACGGGUGAGUAACGCGUGAGAAACCUGCCUCUCAGUGGGGGACAACAGUUGGAAACGACUGCUAAUACCGCAUAACACUUUAGUACCGCAUGGUACAGAAGUCAAAGCUUAAUGUGCUGAGAGAUGGUCUCGCGUCUGAUUAGCUAGAUGGUGGGGUAACGGCUCACCAUGGCGACGAUCAGUAGCCGGUCUGAGAGGAUGAACGGCCACAUUGGGACUGAGAUACGGCCCAGACUCCUACGGGAGGCAGCAGUGGGGAAUAUUGGGCAAUGGGGGAAACCCUGACCCAGCAACGCCGCGUGAAGGAAGAAGGCC